CCUACGGGAGGCAGCAGUGGGGAAUAUUGGACAAUGGGGGCAACCCUGAUCCAGCCAUGCCGCGUGUGUGAAGAAGGCCCUCGGGUUGUAAAGCACUUUCAGUGAGGAAGAACGCCUGGUGGUUAAUACCCAUCAGGAAAGACAUCACUCACAGAAGAAGCACCGGCUAACUCCGUGCCAGCAGCCGCGGUAAUACGGAGGGUGCGAGCGUUAAUCGGAAUUACUGGGCGUAAAGCGCGCGUAGGUGGCUUGAUAAGCCGGUUGUGAAAGCCCCGGGCUCAACCUGGGAACGGCAUCCGGAACUGUCAAGCUAGAGUGCAGGAGAGGAAGGUAGAAUUCCCGGUGUAGCGGUGAAAUGCGUAGAGAUCGGGAGGAAUACCAGUGGCGAAGGCGGCCUUCUGGACUGACACUGACACUGAGGUGCGAAGGCGUGGGUAGCAAACAGGAUUAGAUACCCUUGUAGUC
rnacentral:rRNA from 1 species